rnacentral:pre_miRNA from 1 species
AAUGAGAGAAUGAUAAAUUAAAUUUUUCUUCUUGAUUUUCAGCUUUUUUCUCCUGACAAAAUUCAAUUCAAACUAAAAAUGCUAAAAAUCAGGAGGAAAAAUCUGAUUUGUCAUUUUUUUAUU